rnacentral:lncRNA from 1 species
CCAUGAUCUGGUGCAGGUUGCCCAGGACAGGCAGCCUCAUUGGACCGGGCGGCAGGUGGAGGCGGCCCCCUUUGGUGGAGAAGUCUCUUGUUGCAAGAGCGAGCGUGAGGAGAACUAGAAGAAAGAGGGUGGUGGCAGGGAGCUGCCAUUGCCAUUGUUGAUGCAAGAAGAAGUCUGCUAGGGCAGUCAAAGACAUGGCGGCCACUGUUGAUCUCUUAGGUUGAAGGGGCUGCAGGUUUCCUCCUCUCCAAACUAGAGUUAACUAUGUGGUACAUGUGCACGGCUUAGUUAUGGGAGUGUAAUAUAAAUAGGGCGAACCAAACCUUGCUGCAAGUAGAUACCAUGCAUGAGCUCAUAGCUACAACUUGAAUAUCAAUCGAGCUAGAUGCAUGAACUCACCUUGUCUAGCUUAACGCUACACAUACUUGAUAUAGCAUCGUGCUGGAAGAUCUAAUACAAGCACUAAUUAUGAAGUUCUCAAGUCAAACAAAGAAACUGAAGUCCAUAUAAAUAUAUGAUCUAAUAUAAUCCGUUUAUUAGCAUUGGGAUGCUAAUCAGCUCUUUGACAUCACAGUUAACUCAAAUGAAUUCCCACUCAACUUGUUCAUUAAACAAUUCUCCUAAGUAUUACGAAUAUAUAUAUGACGAACACUGACUUAGCUACCUUGACAUCGCGAUAGAUCUAGCGCUCCCAAUGCUAACUGCCUGUAUACUUUGAGCCAAUCACAUUGCAUACCAAGCGAGUUGAUUAAGUUCCUUGUAGUGGAAUGUGCUCAGCUGGCCUGUUCAAGUCUUUAAGUUCAGGUGAUUGCACGUACCCGUCAACAGCUCAAGGCGCCCAGAGAAGUUCAUAGAAUUAUGUCGAAUUUAGUAGCCCGGCAGUCCACUGGGGGGUUACCCAAGGGGUUGAUUUGUAGGUAGGGAGGAUUGCGAGACUAAGAACUUGAAGGUGAUCAUGAGAACGAGGAUUUAGACAGGUUCGAGCCUCCGGAGAUUAAUACCCUACGUAAUGUCCUGUAUUUUGGUGGUUUAUAUUGCUUGAGAAUUGAGAUGCUCUCGGGAGGCGCCCUUGGCCGCCUUAUAUAGGCUAACGACCUAGCGUUACAAGUCGGUUUGAAUCUAAUCUAGCUGGUUGUUACAUGGAAAGCAUUCUGAGUCAGAUUACAACAAAUAUCCCGCAAUAUCUGGGCUGAUUUGAAUCACCUAGCCUCCUUGACUUGUGCUCCAAGUAUCUUCUUAUCCUUGGGUCGCAUGUUCUGGUCGGGUGGGCCCACUUGUCAGGACCGGCCAGUAUCCUGGUUGGUGGGGUCCCCAUAUCCCUCAAGCCCCCGAGCGAUGUGUAGGCAAACAGGAACCUGAGGACAUCACAGCAAAGCUUGGAAUGUAGUUGGCUGAAACUGUGAUGGCGUCAUAGUGACGGAGAGGCUGCGCAGUGCUUAAAAAAAAGAAAAUUUGAGUGAACGCAGAGCCGUAUGUGCAGAGCGAAGUCGAGCGUCGAGUUGAUGGAUGUCGGGCAUCUAGUAGGUCGAAGUGAAGGACAUGGAGGGCCUCGCAAGACGCACUCCAUAUGUAAUAGCCCCCGAGCAUUGAAGCGAUUAUUAUAAUCUAUUCAAUGAUCAAAAAGGAAGAAAAAAUUGAUCCUAGAAGCAGGUCAUAGUGCCCGAGCACAAGGAUAGGCGAAACCACAGAGGCACACCGACCAGAAAUAGGCACCCAGCCCCCGAGUAUGAGGACUGACGAAGCAAGGAGGCGCGCUGACCAGAAAUUGGCGCCCAGCCCCCAAGUACAGGGACUGGUGGAGCCACGCGACUAGAAAUAGGUGCCCAGCUCUUGAGUACGAGGACUAGCGGAGCCACGGAGGCGCGCCGACCAGAAAUAGGCGCCCAGCUCCUGAGUACGAGGACUGGUGGAGCCACGGAGGCACACUGACCAGAAAUAGGUGCCCAGCCCCCGAGUACGAGGAUUGGUGAAGCCACAGAGGCACGCCGAUUAGAAAUAGGGGCCCAGCCCCCAAGCAUGAGUGCGAGGACUAGCGGAGCCACAGAGGCACUCUGACCUGAAAUAGACACUCAGCCCCUGAGCGUGAGUGCAAGGACUGGCAGAGCCACCGAGGCACGCCGUAAAAAAACAAAACAGGAAACCCAUGGAUUUCGUCCAGCACGGGCGCCGUAAUAACGGAAAACCCGCAGAUUCCAUUGCUAGGGUUACGCCGUCACGUCCUUCAAAAGCCCAAGGGGCACGGUUCCAUUUUCAUUUCCAUUAGCCACACUUGUGUCGCCACCACCGCAGUCCAUGGAGCACACUGCCGCCACAUUUGUGAACCGUAGGCUGCGCCGCCGUGCUUUCCAUUAUGCUCGCGCGCACUUCUCCGCCGCUACCCGACCCACUGCACCACCGUAUGCGCAUCAAGAGCCUCGCAGUUAUUAGAUCCAAAUCCCAGGGAGUAGAAACCAAGGAUAUGGCCCAAGCAUGGGCACCAGAUCCAUCCUCAAUCUGGGUAAAGUUGGUGAUGAUGCAGGAGUGCAUCCAGGGGCUCAUCGACUGGGGUCUUUUGGGACCCAAGGUGCUGCUCGAGUGGAAGGCGACCGCUGGGCAAGAGUUCCCCAAUAAGGACAAGACGGAGAUGGUGGUCUUCGCGUCCUUCUUGAGCGUGGAUUCGGGAUCUCGACAGGCGAUUUCUUCCGAGGUCUUCUCAACUAUUAAGAGAUUGAAUUGGUACAUCUCAAUCCCAACUCGGUUUUGGAUAUCACCAUCUUCAUUCAUCUGUGCGAGGCGUACUUGGGUACCCCCCCCCAUUUCAAUCUGUGGAAGUAUCUGUAUUAGUUGAAAUCUGUGUCGACCAAGGGGAAGCCAUGAGUGAUUGGGGGAUGUGGGUUUUUGCUGCGGCUGAAGAGAGUGCAGGAGUAAUUUGACCUUCAGUUUAAGGAAUCCAACAAGGACUGGAAUAAGGAAUGGUUUACGAUCACCAAUCAGAACCCCGAGCUCCCGCCGUAUACUGGAUACGCCCCAGUUACAAUGCCCGAGUGGUCGAACCAGCCGACCUCGGAGGAGAUGGUGCAGGUGAAGCAGCUGCUGGAGAAAAUUGCUGACCUAAAGGUGUGUGGGCUCACAGUCGGGGCUAUAAGUAUCAAUUUCUACUGGAGAUUAACACAGCCGAUCAAGAACAGGGUCCAUCCGACGUAUGAAUACACAUGACCACUAGAUCUGAACCGAGAGGUGCAGCGAAAGGUGACCAAAGAAGAGGUCGCCGCCCGUGUAUGCAAGUUUUUUGGUGGCAUCAUCAAGAACAAGAGCUACCCCAGGGCGUUUUCCCUCAAGAGGCUGGCUGACCUGGUAUGAUCUUAACUGUAUCAAUUUGGCGUUCUUGUUUUGCUUUUGUGGUGUAUCUGACUAUUCUUGUUGAUUGACUAGAAUGGUGAAUUUGAGUUCUUUUGCCCGGCGCCACUUCUUGGAAGGGCCGAGCAACAACGACCCAAGGUUCGCCCGACCACCGAGUCCGACCAGCCACUUGCCGCUCUUGAUUGGAAGUCGGACUCCUCUAUCGGGUCGGACGAGGACGUGCAGAGGAGGUCGACCGGGCUGAGGACUCCGUGCCAAUUGGACGCCGAACAUGGCAUGCCAUGCAGAAGCUACCUACCUCCAAAUCUCAGAAGCCGAGCUUCAAGAGGAAGAUGACGGCUGGUAGGAAGGAGAAGGUUGCCUCGAGCACGACCUCUGCGCCCAGGUUGGCCAGCGAAGCGGACGAGGAGUCAAACAUGCCGAGCCUGACUAGCAAGAAGAAGAAGACUGAGCUCCUUGAGAUGACUGCGGCCGACACGGAGCAUGAUGGAGCGAAUGUGUGUUGUUGCCACCACCGCCCUUGCGUCCUAAGUUCUAGGUGAAGCAGAGCACCAUGUAAGUGCAAUCUAGUUAUAUUAUAUGUCUUGUGGUUCCUUUUCUACCUAUCUUGCUUAAGUUGCCUCUCGCACUGACAAUGCAGGAAGGUCGUGCUUGAUGAUGUGUCUAGUACGCAGCUGAUUGGUUGCUCAUCCCUUCCCGAAGGGGCGAGCGGCCGCGUCCCUAAACAGUCGCCACCUCCGGAGGCCGAGGGGGAGUCAAGAUAGUCAUGCCAGAGGAGGAGUUGUACAAGCCCUGGUGCCGCAGCAAGGCAUAGUCGGGGAUACUCCCGCUUCUUCGAGUGCAGCUGCUGCAGACGCUGCUGUGGUUGGCUCCAGGGCUGUGCAUGUGUCUGGUGAGGGAGCUAGAGUUGAGCCUCACAUGGAAGAACUGCCCAGGGAUGAUCCACUGUUGGAGAGGUUCGCCGGGAACGCUUGCGUGGACAUGCAAGGAGAGGAUGAUCCUGAUACCCUGGACUUUUCCGGGACGAGCCUUGAUGGGGAUGUGGUGCAGGACAAGAAAGGCCUGGUCUAGCUGCGGAAGUCGUCCUCUAGGAUUUCCGAGUUGCUAUUUGUAAGUAUGCCGACCAACCUGGAGAACCUUUAUCUUAAAUCUGUACCUUUGCAGUGCUCUAACUUUUAGAAUGUGAAUAGAGUCUAGCCGUGCGUGCUCAUAAGAAGGCACACAUGAUCCAGCAAGCCGAGCAAUAUCGCCUGAAGGUAGAGCAACUUGAGGCUGACCUCAGGAAGGGCAAAGAGGAUGCCGUGCGGAAAGACCUGUAGCAUACCUUGCAGAAAUAGAUUCUUGUUGCACACUUGAAAGGUAUGUUGUGCCGACCUGUCAACUCGGUUCUGUCCUUGAAGUCUUGGUGCUGAUGUGUGCUGGCUCAAAUGAGCAGAUGUCGAGGCGAGGGAGUAAAGGUUCAAACAACACCUCAAAGAGUGCGAGGAUUUAAAUGCUCAUCUCCAGCAAGAGCACGACGUGGUGGUUCACCGUGAGUACGCUUUGUCACAGAAGCUGGGUUACAAGGCUAGCUUGUGCAAAGAUACUGACCACUGUCUCGAAGCUGCAAUGCAAAGUCUUCAACAUGACCAAUUGGUGAUUGCAGGGCUAGAGGUAGAGCUGGAAGAUCUGCGCAAGGCAGCCCGGCUAUGUGAUUGACAUGGUCCAACCGGAGACCGACCCAACCGCACCGACGCUAAUUCUCGAUCACCUGAAGGCUGCACCUGGUCGGCUGAAGGAGCUGCUGAAGGACACCGCGGUGGAGUGCGUCAAGAAUGUCUUGGUAGUGUUGAAUACACACUUCCCACGGAUUCCCUUGGAGCGUGCUGGUGCAGGGGUUGCGGCUGACUUCAACACAGAGAAGCUUCCAGAACUGGCCGACCAGUUUAAUGAUGUAGUGGAAAACAUUGUUGAUGAGCUGGAACUGUAAAAUGAAACUUGUGGUAUAUCAAACUAUGUGAUAAUACAUGUGAUGUAAUUGUCUUAACGUAUGUGGAAAUAAAGGGGCUCCAACCCUUUCUUGGUGUAUACGACAGGACAGCGUGUAGCUGAGGCCUGUAGCCGCUAAGCACCUAGCCUUACCUGACCAGCGUCCUACUGAGAGCGGAUCUCGAGCUUGUAGGAGAGGUAAACACAAGGUUGUCUAGGUUUUGCGAGCUAGGACGCUGACCACACAAGUUAGUCGUAUUGCCUUGAGAGGGGAGGAGAAGGAUGCAAGACCUAAAGGUCAACGCCUGGGGGAAGCCCUUGAGCUUGAGAGCGGGUGGUCUGUCGAACAGGUCGGACAGCCCGCGUUUGUUAGGAAUAGCUUGGGCAAAGGAAUAGGAAGAUAGUAGGUACGCAAAGAACCUUGGAGGUUUUAUUCAUUCAGUAAAAAGGGAAAAAAGAAUACAUAGCUUUUAAGCCCUAAGGGUAGAAGCGCCGCAGGUGCUCGAUGUUCCACAGAUUGGGGACGCCUGAACCAUCCACCCAUUGGAGUCAAUAGGUGCCUAGCUGAAUGACUUCUUUGACGAUGAAGGAGCCCUCCCAAGGGGUGACCAGCUUGUGCAUGUCCUUGGUGGACUGGAUCCGACAAAGCACAAAAUCUCCAGCAUUGAAGGAGCGUUCUUUAACAUUUCGAUCGUGGUAGCGCCGUACCUACUGCUCGUGGCAUGCAUGCUGGAUGAGAGCCGCCACUCGAUGCUCCUUGAGGUUGUCGAUGUCAACCCACCGGCUUGUUUCCGCCUUGCCUUCCUCAUAGUACUGGAUGCAUGGGGCGCCAAAGGCUACGUCGGACGGCAAGAUGGCCUUUGAGCUGUAUACCAUGAAGAAGGGAGUGUAGCCGGCAGCCCAACUUUUCAGGGUCUGUAGGCCCCAGAGGGACUGGAGGACCAUCCCAUUCACACAUUCAACUUGUCCAUAUCAGCGUGGGUGCGAUACUGAGGAGUAGUAUACGUUGAUGAGGUUGUCCUGGCAAAAGUCCCAGAACUCGAAUCCUGUGAACUGCUUGCCAAGGUCAGUGAUGAUCCUGUUUGGAACUCCAAAGCGAUGUGCGAUCUCGUUUAUGAAUUGGGCGGCUUUAGCCGACUCGAUGUUGGUGAUAGCCUUGACCUCAAUCCAUUUGGUGAAUUUGUCAACAACCACAAAGAUGUGAGUGUAGCUGCCUGGGGUGAUCUUGAAGGGUCCGACCAUAUCCAGCCCCUAGCAUGCGAAGGGACAAGAUGGUGGGAUGUGCGUAGGGCUUGGGCUGGUAGGUAUUGUUGCUUGGAGAAGAAUUGACACCCUUUGCGCCUUUGGAUGAGCUCCUUUGCAUCGGCUACCACUAUUGAGCAAUAGAAGCCAGAGCAAAAUGUCUUGCCGACCAAAGUGCCCGACACACCUUUGCAUGUGCUCGAGUGAAUAUCGUGAAGGAAGUCAAUGCGCUUACUGCGUAGAAUGCACUUCAUCAAGAUGCCUGUAGACGCAGCCUUUCUGUAGAGUUCCUUCCCAAUGACGACGUAGUUUGCGCUGCGCCAAGCUAGUUUCUCAUGUUCUAUCUUGUCCUCUGGCGCUAGCUGGUCGGUGAUCAAGGCUAUGAACAGAGCGCACUAGUUUUCUUCUGCGUCAAUCAUCAUCGGUUGAAGCCUCAGCACUGCCGUUGACCUAGUCCAGGUCCAGAAUCUUGAUGGAAGGUUUCUGGGGAUCUUGUACGAAGAUGCCGAUCGGGACUUGUGCAUGCUUGGAGCUGAGCUUGGACAGGACCUCAGCGGCGACGUUGUGUUCCCUAGGGACAUGAUGGAACUCGAGACCAUCGAAGUAGGCCUUAAACUUGUGGAUUUUUGCAUAGUAAGUAUCCAUGGUUUCCUUGGUGCAGUCCCAGUUCUUGUUGACCUACUCGAUGAUGACCUUGGAGUUGUCGUACGCAACGAUGCGCUUGAUCCCGAGGGAAGCGACAAUGCGGAGGCCGUGGAUGAGAGCCUCGUCCUCAACGCCAUUGUUGGUGGCCUUAUAGUGGAUUUGAAGAACGUACUUAAGUUGCUCGCCCUUGGGGGAUAUGCAGAGGACCCCCACGUUGGCUCCUUCGAGGUUGAGGGCACCAUCAAAGUACAUUAUCCAAUGUUCCGGCCUCUCCAGGCAGGACGACUUCUAGAUCUCUGUCCAUUCAGCCACGAAGUCGGCUAGGAUCUGCGACUUGAUCACAUGACGUGAGCAGAAAUUGAGUUCAAACUCCCCGAGCUCUAUAGACCAUUUGACAACUCAGCGUUGACAUCCCUAUUGUGGAGGAUUUUGCCAGGUGGGUAUAAGGAUACUACCUGGAUCUUGUGCACCUGGAAGUAGUGGCGUAGCUUGGGACACAAGAUCAGGAUUGCGUAGAGCAAUUUUUGAACUUGUGUGUAGCGAAUCUUGGAGUCGCUUAGGACCUCACUGACAUAGUAGACCGGUCUCUGCACCAUGUGUGCAUGGUCGGGCUCUUAUUGCAGAGAUGUAGAGUUGAAGCGUUUCCUGGUCGGCUGGGGCCAUCAUAACGGGGGGAGUUGUAUGGAAGGCUUUGAGCUCUUUGAGUGCCUUGCUAGCCUCGUCAUCCCACUCGAACUUGUCCACAUUUUUGAGUAGAUUGAAUAAGGUUAGUCCCUUUUUGCCGAGUUUGUUGAUGAAGCAGCUGAGGGCUGCCAUCAUGCUGGUGAGUCUCAUGACAUCUUUCUUGUUAGCUAGCCUUGCCAUGUUCCUGAUUACAUCAACCUUGACGGGAUUGGUUUCGAUGCCACGCUAGCUGACCAUAAAGCCUAGGAGCUUUCCAGAUGGGACACCGAAGACACAUUUGCCUGGAUUGAGUUUCCAACGGAUAGGCUCGGAGGCUGUCGAAAGUUUUUGCAAGGUUGGCUAUGAAGCUCUCCUCAUCCUUAGUCUUGUCAGCCACGUCGUCGACGUAAGCCUUGAUGUUCUUGUGUAGCUGCUUCGUGAGGCAACUCUAUAUUGCCUUCUGGUAGGUGGUGCCAGCAUUAUUUAACCCAAAGGUCAUGGUGUUGUAGCAGUAGAUGCCGAAGGGCGUUAUAAAUGCCACUUUGUCUUCGUCGGACGGGUCGAGGGUGAUCUGGUGAUAGCCCGAGUAGCAGUCGAGUAUGCACAACAGGGUGCUACCAACCAUAGAGUCUACGACCUGGUCGAUGCGCGAAAGAGGAAAGGGGUCCUUAGGGCAGUGCGUGUUGAGGUCGGUGUAAUCGAUAUACAUUCUCCAUUCACCGGUUUUUUUUCUUAUAAGGACUGGAUUUGCUAACCAGUCGGGGUGCUUACUUUCACGAAUGAAACCUGCAGCUAAGAGCUUAUUGAGUUCUACCCUAAUGGCCUCCUUGCGAUCAUGGGCAAAACGGCGAAGCUUUUGCUUGACUGGUCUUGCUGUCUUGCUCAAGUCCAAGGAGUGCUCAGCCAGCUCCCGCGUGACACUAGGCAUAUCGGAUGGCUUCCACACGAAUAUGUUUGAGUUGUCCCGGAGGAAAUUGGUGAGCACAAGUUCCUAUAUGGGGAAGAGGUCGGACCCUAUGAGGGCUGUCUUGGUCGGGUCUUCCAGGUCGAGGUAGAUCUUCUUGAUCUUGGGGUCAGACUGCAGCGCUGUAGGCGUUGGCUCCAUCUCUGGGAUCGCGAGCUGGUCUUGGUCCACCUUCUAGGCAUCAGCAAGCAUGGUGGUGGCUUUAGCCGAGUACUCCAGGGCUUCCACGAGCUGCACCGCCUCCGUGUCGCAUUUGUAUGAUAUCUCGAUGUCACCGUAGAUGGAGAGGACACCGUUUGGAGCCGGCAUCUUGAGGAUGAGGUAGGUGUGAUGCGGAAUUGCCAUGAACCUUGCGAGCAUGGGUCUGCCAAAGAUGGCAUGGUAGGAAGUCUUGAAGUUGGUCACGUCGAAGUUGAGGUGCUCUGUACGGCAGUUGUUGGGCAUGCUAAAGGUGACUGGCAAAACAACUCAGCCGAUAGGAUAGGAUCGUUUGCCAGGCACGAUGCCGUAGAAGGGGUCUUCAUAGGGCUAGAGCCGCUCAAAAUUGAAGUCCAUGCGCCUCAGGGUUUCAGUGAAGAUGAUGUUGAGCCCACUGCCACCGUUAAAUAGCAUUUUGGGGAGGAGAGCCUGAUCUAUGGUCAGGCAGACCACCAGCGGGUAGGACCCAGGAUCUAGAAUAUGUACCUAGUGAUCUUCCUUGGAGAAGGUUAUGGGCAUCUCUGACCAGUGCAUAUACUGGACUGACCGUAUGGAGACGAAGUGCACCUCUCGCUGGUGUAGCUUGUGUUUGCGGUUGCUACAGAACGCCUUGGGGCCACCCAUGAUGAUGUUGACUUCACGGUUCGGCCGUUGGAACUCUUCGUUCUGGUCGGCGAUGGUCCAGUGGGCGUCUAGGUUUGGCUGGUCGUGGCGCUCUUCUCUAUGUUGAUCAUUGCGGUCGUCGUGUCGGCGAUUGUCGCGGUCAUCAUGGUCAUCACGGUGGCGGUCACGAUCAUUGCGAUCAUCAUAGCGGUGGUCGCGUUUGUCGCGGCGAUAGCCGCCACAAUCAUCAUGGUCAUUGCGGUGGUGGUUGUUGCGACGAUUGCCAUCCCUACGGUAGUCGUUGCGGCGAUGUCGCUUGUACUCCACUGGGGUGCCGAGCUCUUCCUUGAGGACUAUGAAGUCCCAAAGAUUGUGACGUGCGUUCUUAUGGAAGGGGCACGGAGCGUUCAAGGUGUCAUCAAACUCUUCCCGGAGGAAUGUUGUUGGUCUGGCGGGGUCAGCUUCAGCAGUGAGGACCUCGGGGGCCCUUUUUCAAAGUCGGGAAGACUUCGGUCAUGCUUGGUGUUCCUCAUAGGUCGGCAGUUCGUGGUCGUCGUUCUAGCGAUGCUUGCCGCCUUGGAACUGUACUUGUGCCGCCUCCUCUGUGUCGGCCUGAUCGUUGAUGAGCUGCAUCAUCUACCUGACCGUCUUAUGGGCAACCUCAUACAGCUUGCAGAACAUGUUGCAGUUCGAUAGGCCGGAGCGGAAGUACCAUAUGAUGUCGCGGUCCUCGAUGCCAGCCAGCAUGUUGUAGUUUUCGAAGAAGCGGUUCACGUACUCUUGGAGAGUUUCCUUCUUCCGCUGGCGGACUUGCCCUAGAUUCUCCGUGUUUCCAGAUCGGCUGUUGGUAGCAUGGUAGUUCUGGGUGAAAGCCCUAGCGAGCUAACCCCAGGAGUCGAUGCUUCUUGACGGGAGGUUCUCUAGCCAUAGGAGAGGGACGAGACCCAUCACCACCGGGAAGUAGGUGCCCAUAUGGUCGUAGGUGCCAUUGGCGGCUUUCACCUUGGUGUUGUAUGUCUUGAGCCAUAUGGUGGGGUCGAAAUGGCCAUCAUACUUUUUGUUGAUGGUCGGCUUGAAUGAAGCAGGCCACUCAAUGGCCCUGAGGUAGGAGUGAAGGUGGUGAAACCAUCGACCGCUGUGUCAUCAUCGUCCUCGAGGUUGUACAUGACGGGUGGUGCCCUGGGGUGUCCACCGUUGUUACACCAGGGCGGGACGUAGGCGUCUUCAAGGGCGCCGUAAAUGCGGUCAUAGUUGGCACGGUGACGCAUCUCAUCUUCUUGUCAUCGGCGGUCCUCCUGUUACGCGUUGCGGUCUAGCCUGCCAGGAGUGCUGUAGUCGCGGUUGUACUCAGCGCGGUGGCGGAGCUCGGCUUCUUCGCGCUCUUGGUGGCGGUUGUUGAGGUCGGCACGGAGGUCGCGGCGGUCGUGUAAUUCUUCAUGAAGGUCACGUUGCCGACCUUGUCUGCCACAGUCCUCUCUCAUGCCACAACGGCGGUUGUUGUGGUUGUCGAGUUGGUGGGCGUUGUUGGCAGGUGGGUUGGCGGGCUGCUCCACUUCAUCUUCACGGAUGGGUUUCAGCCGACCCCCCACGCGGUUAUCGUGAUCGCCUCGGUGGUGACCUGAUCUGCUAUGAAUGGAUCGGCUUCGGGAGUGCCGAGUAGAUGUAGACCGGGAGUAUGCUGACCGGCUGUAGGGCCACUCUUCGAUCUAGGCGUUGGCGACGUGGAUACGUGCCUGCAUUUGCCGGAGCGGCUCCAAGUCUAGAAGGUUUUCCAGGUCGGCAACGGUAGCCCCAAGGUUAGCUUGGGGUGUGGUGAAGAUGUUGUGGUCGGCCUCCUCGAGGUCGGCUUGAAUAUUGCGAGUGCACACAGGGAGUCUGUGUCUACCCCGAGUACCGUCCUGGUCACGUUGUCGCCAUCGUUGGCGUGCGAUGGGUCAGCGUUGGCGGUGAGCGAUAGUCAGCGCUGGUCGCCUGCAGCCUCGGCUCCCGCAUUAGCAGCACGUUGUUAGUGUUGCUGGGCGUCGGCUUGCUCCCGCUGGUGCCGUACUGCACAGUCCUAGUUCUUGGCAUUGCGGCCUACUUCCUGAGAAGAGGUUUCACCAUCCCUGGGUGGAUCGACGGCGGAGACCACAAAGGCUUCACGAUCUGGCAUGGUGGAGUUGCUCACAACGUCAUCUCCGUAAGGGUUCGAAGUCAGGAUGAUGUGGAGGAUCUGAAACUCGCCACAGUUCAAAAACUUGGCGGGUUCGGGUGGGCCUUCAAAUUGGAUCUGAAGAGGCUGCACGAGUUUCAUGGAAAACACGGCAACCGAGUUCCUUAGACCAAAGGCGACACGGGAAGGAUCCUGCGCCAACCUUGUUGAGUGUAGCGCCGCCUCGAAGAGGUUGAUGCACUCAGCAAUAGUGUUGCUGAUGCGAUCUAGCCCCGUGAUCAAGUCGGAGGCGUGGGUGGGCGUGUUGCCGUGAGGAUGUGUGGAACCCUCUCUGAGAGAGAGAUCACCGACCUGCUGGGCAAGCAGCAUGAUGAUCCUCGGGUGAAGACCUUGCUCCAUCGAAGUAGAUCCGACGGAUGCUGAGCUGGCGGCGGACAUCGAAUUGUCGAAGAAGGCGGUGGAGUCGGAGUCCACCGGCAUGCUCCCAAAGUGAAGCUGGAUCGGAUUGGCGAAGAUGUCCUUCAUGCUCUCGGGGAAGACAACGUCGGGGCAAAAUGCCAUCGAGCUCGCUGGGAAGGAUCUCACAAUCACCCGUACCUGGCACACCAAUUGUCAGAUUUAGUAGCCCGACAGUCCACCAGGGGUUACCCAAGGGGUUGAUUUGUAGGUAGGAAGGAUUGCGAUACCAAAAACUCGAAGGUGAUCACAAGAACACGAGGGUUUAGAUAGGGUCGGGCCUCCGGAAAGUAAUACCCUAUGUCCUGUAUUUUGGUAGUUUGUAUUGCUUGAGAAUUGAGAUGCUCUCGAGAGGCGCCCUUGGCCACCUUAUAUAGGCUGACGACCUAGGGUUACAAGUCAGUUUGAAUCUAACCUAGCCGGUUGUUACAUGGAAAACAAUCUGAGUCGGAUUACAACACGUAUCCCGCAAUAUCCGGAAAGAUUUGAAUCGCUUAGCCUCCUUGACUUGUGCUCCAAGUAUCUUCUCAUCCUUGGCCCGCAUGUUCUGUUUGGGUGGGCCCACUUGUCAGGACCGGCCAGUAUCCUAGUCGGUGGGGACCCAUGGGAUACCCAUAUCCCUCAUAUUAUAUUAGGGUUUGUGCACAUCUACGUUCGUAAAGAUGACUGUGCAUGCAUGUAUAUAUGAGCGUCUUGCAAAAACACACAUAUUGAUCACCAAAUUAAAUCAGUGGCCCAUAUCAUAUCAUGAUUGCUUAUCAUGACCGACUUGGCAAUGAUGUCAGAGAUGCAUAAGGUGAUGCAAGCCUUGUGUUUAAUUUUGGCUAUUUCUGUUAAUUUUGCAAGUUUGUGCAUGUGAGAAUAUGAAUAUGGCAUAUGGCAUUCUUUAGCGUUGGUCCUUGCAUUAUUUGGAUGGUGCGGGGAUUAAGAAUUGCGCACAUACAUCAACAAGUAAUUGUUAUUUGGAAGUACUCCCUCAGUCCCUAAAAGAAUGCAAUUAUGGAACAGUGUCAUGAUUUACUGUGUCAAGUUUGACCUAUUAUAGAUGAAAAAGUAUAAAUAUUUAUAAUAUCAAAUAAAUAUCAUUAGAUUAAUUACGAAAUGUAUUUUCAUAAUAAAUUAAUUUGGAGCCAUAAAUGUGAAUAUUAUUUACUACAAACCUGGUCAAACGUGAAGCACUUUAACUGGCACGUAUACCAUAGUUGCAUCACAGAGGGAGUAUCUAAGUAUCUAUCUGUAUGUGGGCGCGUGAAUCGAACAGCCAAGAGGCGAGCGCUGAUUGUGAUUGAUUCUAAAAUUAAAUUGAUUCCAACGCCUGCCGGCUACUUGUUUAUUCAAUCUUCUCUUGUCGCUAGAUUACGAGAAUCUUGCACUGUUUGAUAAGCAACGACGAGAGGAAAUUUAUAUAGUAGAAGACUUUGACUGAGCAGCCAGCUGGUCAAGAUUAUCAAACGCAAGCAACCUACGUGAUAUUGGUGAUGCAUGACGAGCACUUGGUGAUGCAUUCGGUGACGCACACCUUGUGAUUAACUUUGUUUGUUUAUGUUAAUUUUGCAAGCUAGGCUCCACGUGAUAUAGGCAUUCUUUGUCGCUGGUCCUUGCAUUAAUUAUUGGACGGCGCGUUGUCUGUAAUUUACUAUAUUAUAUAAUGUAGUAGUGAUGAGCACUUUUACCAGAAAGAGUUGACUGAGUUAAUGGAUUCGCUUGUUGGCUAAUCUGAAUCGACUUACUUAAGUGUGGUGUUACCAGGCUUGGAAAGAAAACUUCUUUAUGUGUUUGAUUUCCCUAAUUUACUGGUUGGCCACUCAAAUAUUAAAAAUACAUCAGCAAUUAUUGUUACUUGCAUUAUUUGGACGGCGCGGAUUAAAAGUUAAAAAUUGAUUCCAACGCCUGCCUGCUGCUUCUUCAUUCAAUGAGUCUCGAUCACGCACGUCACGGAUGCAAUGCCGACUACUUAUUUUAAAUGUCUUGUCUUAGCAGUUGUCAAUAUUCUUGAGCAGAACACGCCUUAAUUCGUGAUAGUCUUGAAUCUUCUAUCAUGUCUAAACGCUCGGACGUGAGACAAAGAUCUCCGUAGUAGCAGUGCCAGUACGCGUACAUGAGGCAAAGAUCUCACACGCAGUGGCAAUGGCUAAACAGAGACUGAGAAUCUAAACGUAAUAGGCUAACUACUUGGGACAAUUAUAGCCUUUCACUAUCCUAAUGGCCUUUCACUAUACUUAAUGGCUAAUGGCCUUUCACUAUACUUAAUGGCUAAUGGCCUUUCACUUUAAAAAUCACAUUCAAUUGACACAAGCUAAUGGCCUUUCACUAUACUAAUUAAGCACCAUUACGAGGUUAAAAAAACGGUGAGGUCUAGGAUUUCGCCGGGAGGGGAACCUUUUGAAGUUUUGAUUGGACAUGACAUUAGUGCGGGUUUUUGUGCAACGUGCCAAUUUCUUUUGUAUUAACCACGUAUGCAGAAUAAGCACUAUAUGCACACAUCGAACAACUUAGUGUAUUGUGGGAACAACAUUAGCAAUUUUUUAAACUAAAAUGAAAGAAAUGAUGCGCUUUGUGUAUGAUUGAUGCACUUUACUAUUUCUUUCCAGAGCACGCAAUGCACGCAUAUUCAUUUAGAAGAAGAGAAUUGAUACAACGCGAGCCAAACCGGACACUCUAAGAUUCUGUUUGGGAGGGUUUCUCCCAAAACGGAUUUACCGGUGAAGCUAAAGCCAGUGAAGCUAAAAAUAAUGGCUUCAUCUGGCUUCUAGUUCAUUUUAACAUCGACUUAAAAAUAACUUCACACUACAAUACCUCGUUUUGCACAAAACAUGUGAAGCCGAAGCUAAGAUAAGCCUUGCCAAACGGGGGAUAAACUGUUAGGCAAAACAAUGCGCGACCUACGCAACGGAUAGAUAUAUAAAGCGAGAAGCACCUACGUCACAUUAAUUCCACACCUAGGAACAAUGGCCACCCCACUGCUCCCCUCCGAGCUCCUCGCCGGCCUGCCGCAGCAAUGGCUGCUCGGCCUCUUGCUUCUUCUCCCUGUAGUCCUGCUUGCGUCGUCCUACCUCUUCCUGGCGACCAAGACGACCAAGAACGGGGCGCGUUGUCUGCCGCCGGGCCCCGCUCAGGUGCCUGUCCUGGGCAACCUGCACCUUCUGGGCCCGCUGCCGCACCGGAACCUCCGGGACCUUGCCCGGCGGCACGGCCCCGUGAUGCUGAUGCGGCUGGGCACGGUGCCGACGGUGGUGGUGUCCAGCGCGGCGGCGGCGCGGGAGGUGAUGAAGGAGCACGACAUCGACUGCUGCAACCGGCCCGUGUCGCCGGGGCCCAAGCGCAUCUCCUACGGCCUCAACGACAUCAUCUUCGCGCCCUACGGCCAGCAAUGGCGCGAGAUGCGGAAGCUCUUCAUCGUCGAGCUCCUCAGCAUGCGCCGCGUCCAGGCCGCGUCGUACGCGCGCGAGCAGCAGGUUGACAGGAUGAUCGCCCGCCUGAGCCGCGCGGCGCCGGCGACGGCGGUGGCGCUGAACGAGCACGUCUUCGCGGUGGCAGACGGCAUCGUCGGCACGGUGGCGUUCGGGAACAUCUACGGCACGGAGCGGUUCGCGCACAGGGAGCGGUUCCAGCACGUGCUGGACGAGGCCAUGGACGUGAUGGCCAGCUUCUCCGCCGAGGACUUCUUCCCCAACGCCGCUGGCCGCCUCGUCGACCGCGUCACGGGCCUCGUCGCCCGACGCGAGCGCAUUUUCAGGGAGCUCGACGCCUUCUUCGAGACGGUCAUCGACCAGCACACGGACCCCGCGCGCGUCGUCCCCGAGAACGGCGGCGACCUCGUCGACGUCCUCGUCAACCUGUGGAAGGAGAACCGGGGCACGUUCCGCUUCACCCGAGACCACGUCAAGGCCCUCAUCAUGAACACGUUCAUCGGCGGGAUCGACACGAGCUCGGUGACGGUGCUGUGGGCGAUGUCGGAGCUGAUCCGGAAACCGCGGGUGCUGAGGAAGGCACAGGACGAGGUAAGGGCCGUCGUGGGAGGCAAGCCGCGCGUGGACCCCGACGACGUGCCCAAGCUCCCGUACCUCAAGAUGAUUGUGAAGGAGACCCUGCGGCUGCACCCGCCGGCGACGCUGCUGGUGCCUCGGGAGACGGUGCGGGACGUGAGGAUCGGCGGGUACGACGUGCCGGCGAGGACGCGCGUGUUCGUGAACGCGUGGGCGAUCGGCAGGGAUCCGGCGAGCUGGGCGGACGCCGAGGAGUUCCACCCUGACAGGUUCGAGGGGAGCAACGUGGACUACAACGGCGGGCAUUUCGAGCUGGUGCCGUUCGGGGCGGGGCGGCGGAUCUGCCCGGGCCUCGCCAUGGGCGAGACGAACGUGAGCUUCACGCUGGCGAACCUGCUCUACUGCUUCGACUGGGCGCUGCCGGAGGGGAUGGCGGCGGAGGACGUGAGCAUGGAGGAGGCCGGCGGGCUGACGUUCCACCAGAAGAUGCCGCUGGUGCUGGUGCCCACAAGGUACCACAACCGCACGGCGACGGCGUAGACGCGUAGUGUAGUAGUAGUCGUCAUCGUAUCGUCGACGAUUGAAUAAAAGAUAAGCGUGCGCGACGUAGGUGCCUCACCUUGCAUCGUCGUUGCAGUAGCUUGGAGACUUGAAAACCCAAAAAAAACAAGAAAAAAAUGGUGACACUCUAAUGGGGGUGUACCCGCCUUGGAAAAAAAAAUUAGACGCAGGACUCCUGCAACCGAGUCCUGGUACAGGACGGCCCCAGAUCAUGACGCGUGGGCGGCCUUUCCGAUUGAAUGCCCGCGCCCCUCACGCAGAAGAUGAGCCAGCGCUGAAGAAGAAAAAAUAGACGAGCCAGGAAGACGAGCUCCUCGCGUGCGUGCCUCUCGAGCCGGCGGAAGACGAGCCGACGCUUAGCAGGGCUUCUCUGCGCCUGCAGGAGCUCCUCUCGCCUCAUGGCUCCAGAACGAAGGGUUAUAGAAUAUGUUUCCACAGCUCCUCUGAUUCGUUUCACAAACAAAAUUUGGGAUAUUUCAUAAUCUGAAAAAAUUUAAAUCUAAAGAGUGGUAUGUGGAAGUGAUGUGUAAAAAAAAUGACAGGUCCAUAAAGUGUAAUGUGAUCCUUAUCAAACAAUAUAAAUGAGUUACAUGGUACCAACUGACAUAAUACAGAUCCAAAUAAAAUUAUGUGUAACACAACAAAGGUUACAUGCUUUCUUGAUUUGGCAUUCCACCAAAAUUUAAUUUUUUAACAGCCGGCUGUAACGUGGGAGCUUGAUCAACUCCAAGUAAGAGAUUUGUAUAUCCUCCUUGCAUAUAAGGAGCACCCACGGUUGAAGAAUCUCUAUACAUAUUAAAUUGUGGCAUUAUGGCAUUAGCAUAGCCACCUUGGAUCAAUGGAGCAGCCAUGGACGAAGAUUGUCCAUACACAUCAUUUGCAGAGUUUGGCACCAUACUGUUAACAUCCUUUUCACCAUCAUUAAGAUCCUGUACCAAAUCAAAUAUGAAAAGUGGAUAUAGUCCAGCACAUAUGACUUACGAUAAAUAGUUGCAUAUAAGGAAUUCAAAUAUGAAAAGUGAACAUAGUCCAACACAUAUGACUUACGAUAAAUUGAUCUAGAUUAGCACCUUCGUAUACUUUGGAUCUAUUUUCUACUGCAGUUGUUGAAUCUUGUCCUAUAUUCAAACAUAUCAAGUUAACUAUAUUGGCAUAUAAUAGAUAAAAACAUGUAGAAUUGAUAUGAGUAGUAUCUUGCUUUUUACCACUUUUCUUUUUCUUCCCUUUAUUCUUUUCAAGGGAGAUGGUCCCUCAUUUACUCUUUCGGCCUUUUAUCACCCGAGGAAUUCUAAAUGAUAUUUUACCUCUCAAUGUAUCUGUAACACAGUUUGUUGAAACUAGAGGGACCUCACUGGCUUUUUGUUGCAUCCUGCUUAGAGAAUUAUCUGCUUUCAAGUCCAACUUACCUAUGGCAUUCUCCAAAUCAACAAGAAGUUCCUUGGACAGUGAACACUUCAAUGCAAUGGAUGUCGCCUUUCAUGCAAUACGUGCAGCAUACGUUUUCAAGCUUUCCUUUUCAAAUUCUUGUUUCUCAAUAUAGAAUCCUCUCUUUGCAUAUUUUGUCCAUCUAUUCAAUAUGUAUUGAGAUGGCAACAAGAAAAUAUCGUUUGCAUUGAAGACUUUGAGGGCAUGCUUGCACAGUAGACCUAUAUGUGGAUAUCAUAUUUCAUUACUUUGUAUUAUAAACUAUACUAUUGCAAUAAAGAUUUUUGUACGUACCUAUGGAUUCGUAUUUUCUGCGAGCACAUGUAAUGGUAAUAUCUGCUUUGUUGAACACAACCGUUGCUCCAUAAUCAGAGUACAUAUGUGUAACCGUAUAUGUCAAAAUUAACCCCUUGGUGUGUAACAACUUACAAGAGAAUGAAAAUUGUUCAUUAAAUUCUUUCUGAAACUCUUUAUACAUCCGGCUUGUAUAUGACUCGGCCGCAACUGGACUCUUUCGACGUGAUCGAAAAUCUUCAUCCAACUCGUUAUUACGAAGACUAGCAUAAACCUUAUCACAUUCUUCAAGUAGUUCCGAAAUACCCAGUUUCCUACGAAACCUUUUCUUGAAUACGUUAUUCAUACCUUCGCUUCUUUGAGUGGAGUUCAUAUCAGCUGUAAAUGAGUCACGGUAUACAACAGCCCACUUUGUCCUCAAAUCAUAUAGGUUUAACAUCCAUUCAUUGUCCUUAAGGUUGUACUCACACAACAAUUCAUCCCACUUCUUGUUAAAGUAAAACUCAGAUCUAUCUUCAUAGACACAUCCCUUAAAAUUAGGAAGAAAAUUCUCUGGAUGCUGCUGGAUUACAUGACCAAGAUGUUUAGCAGCAUUUAGAUAAAUAUGCCACAAACAAAGACGAUGACUUGUGUUUGGGAAUACAUAAGCAAUUGCACCUGCCAUGGCCGCAUCUUGAUCAGUGAAAAUUGUACUGGGAUGCUUACCUGACAUUGUUGUUAAAAAGGUUUCAAAUAGCCAAACAAAUGAUUCAAUAGUCUCAUUAAACAAUAAUGCAGCCCCAAAAAUUAUAGUAUGCUUGUGAUGGUUGGUUCCCAGGAGCGGAGCAAAAGGCAUUUCAAACUUAUUAGUCUGAAACGUGGUGUCAAAAGACACGGCAUCACCAAAACAUGUGUAAUCCAUGAUAGAUUGACCGUCUGCCCAAAAGAAGUUAGCCAUCCUGCCAUCUUCUUCAUUUAUUUGAAUGGCAUAAAAAAAUGUUGGAUCCUCUACCUGCUUAUUUUUUAAGUAUUCCAACAAUGUUUGUGCGUCAUUGGAUUCUAAGUAUUUUCUGCGCUGCCGACCAAUCUCAUUGUUACAAUCAAUCCGUGAGAAUGGCACUUUAUCGGCUCCUCCAUAAAAUUGCACCAUAAACUCAAACACUUGGGCUGGCUUCAUCCCACCCUCCCUCAUCUGGCCAAUUAGCUUCUUGUCCACUUCUUGAACACGUCGUUGGGACCUAAGCUUCUAUCUUUUAUUUGGACUUGCAAGGUAAUGGUUGUGAUCAAGCACAACCUUCUGCAUUGACCAAACCCCCUCCUUGCUGACAAUAAACUGAAUACGAGCAUCACAACCUGCCCUUGUAGUGUCCUUUGAUGACUCAAUUUGUCGAUGACCUUGACUACUGCAAACUAUAUAUUUGAGAUAGAUACUGCCAUCUCUUCGACGCUUUGUGUCGCUCUUUCUAAUACUGAACCCAACCUUGCCUGCAUAGGUGUUGUACAUUCAUAAGCUUCCUCCUCGGAUUGAAAAGACAUUCCAACUUCAAGAACGAUGAAAUAAUUUUUUGCAACUUCAUCAACCACCUAUUGUACAAUGAGUCGAGAAUUAAAGGUGCCUUGCAACAAUACAUAUUAUUAUACUAUCACUUCAAUUUAUUAUUCACGUUCCUUCAAUUACUCAUCCGGCCCCUGAUCACCGUUACUGUCACUCGCUCCGUCGCCGCUGCCCGGCAGGGCAUGCUCCAACGACUCCACCUCCAGACCCGAUGGCACCAUAUGGAUCGCAAGGUCGCCGCCACUUGAUUCUGCACGCGCGACAGCUCAAACCCUAGGCGGCGAUAAUACGGAAGACGAGAGCUCCUGCAUGCGGUGAUUCCGUUAGUAGAAAAUCGAGGCACAGUUCAAGGACCUCAUGCGCUACCUCUGGAUGGAAGCCCUGCCUCGUCGAGCGCAUCUAGGCCGCCGUCGUUGCUGGGGCGCCGCAGACCGGCACCGCGGACACGCCUCUACGCAUCGCCAGGCAGCACGGCGUCGACGACGGUCUCUACGCGUCGCCCGGCAACGCCUGCUGGCCCGCGAUCCCGCGAUCACCAGCUGCUGAACAACCCCGCCGUCCCGGAGCUGUCGAGCACCACGGCCGGGUCGUCAUCUUCGUCCUGAGAUUAUGGAAGGCUCCAGAUGUUGUUCGUGAAACGAAUCAGAGAAGGGCUCGUCAGCGCCAUCUCGUCUUCCGCCGGCUCGUCUUCCGCACGCGCACAAGGGGCUCGCUCGUUCCUAGCUCGUCUUCGUGGCUUUCCUUCAGCGUGGUGGCUCGUCUUGCUAGCUCGUUUCUGGCUCAUCUAUUUUUUUCUUCUUCAGCGCGGGCUCGUCUCCUCGCGCGGGCGUUCGAUCGGGAAGGCUACCCACGCGUCGUGAUCUGAGGCCAUCCUGCACCAGGACUCGGUUGCAGGAGUCCUGCGUCUAAUUUUCUUCCGGAGAGAGAGAGGAGAGAGAUGGGACCGGCUCCUGGAUUCUGCAAGUUUGAUACGGGUUCGCUGAGCCGAGCGCCCGAGCCGGAGUGUCUCGGUCGGUGACGGCGCUUGGACACAGAAUUAAAUGGUUAGUGAUGAUAUCGUGAGCGCUUUCGUGCGUGUAAGAAAUUUCAGUCACGUUGAUCAAAUUGGCGUUCGUGCUUGUGGCCGCGUGUCAAAUUCAGUGCAUGCAUCGCUUGUCUCGUGGCAUGCAUGGCACCCAGACGAUGAAUAAGGGGUACAGCAUAGUACCUGUCCCAUCGGAUGUUUGGAUAUUAAUUAGGAGUAUUAAAUAUAGUCUAAAUUACAAACUAAUUGUACAGAUGGAGUCUAAUUCGCAAGACGAAUCUAUUAAGCCUAAUUAGUUCAUGAUUUGACAAUGUGGUGCUACAACCAUUUGUUAAUGAUGGAUUAAUUAGGCUUAAUAGAUUCGUCUCACGAAUUAGUACAGAGGUUAUAAUUAGAUGUUAUAAUUAACUCAUGUUUAGUCCUUCUAAUUAGUGUCCGAACAUCUACGUCAGAAGAUCCUGGCCGGCAUGGCACCAUCGCUUUUGGAACCGGAUCCCCUGAUGACGUACACGUAGCCCCCAGCUGACGGUGCAUAUCGUGGAUGCGGGUUGGCAGAGGACGACUGCACGCUGAAGUCAACCGGGGGCAACGUGGCAGCUGAUCCGGCGGCGCCCCUCCUUUCCACGGGAUACCCACAUGGGCAAAAGAAAGAAACGUGGGGAAUGUAGGUUUGUUUCUGUAGAAGCUUUUAAAGUUCCUGUAAUAUCGAAUGUUUAGAAAGUAAUUAGGAAUAUUAAAUAUAGAUUAAUUACAAAACCAAUUGUACAGAUUGAGACUAAUUUGCGAGACGAAUCUAUUAAGCCUAAUUAGUUUAUGAUUUGACAGUGUGGUGCUACAGUAAACAUGUGCUAAUGAUGGAUUAAUUAGGUUUAAUAGAUUCGUCUCGGGAAUUAGCCUCCAUCUGUGUAAUUAGUUUUAUAAUUAGCUCAUGUUUAGUCCUCCUAAUUAGCCUCUGAAUAUUCGAUGUAACCUGAAUUUUAGUCCAGACUACAGAUACAAACAUCCCAUAAUCUCACAGAUAUAGGUCAUGGUACAGCGAUGGGGAAAAACGCUUCUCAUAAGCUGCACGAUUAUAUAUCAUCUCAGCCAAACAGAAAAAAAAUAUCCCAGGAAGCCUACGCCAGCCCAGGCACUAAUACAAGUUGCAUUGGUCCAUGUUCAUCUCCUAGAGACAUGCAUAUUCAGCUUGGGGCCUAGGGCGAUUCUAGGUCCGCCCCUGGGGAAGGAUACAUGAGAGCAAAUAAUAAAGAUGCCAUUAGAUCAAACCACAUUCUAUAUAUGAUUAUUAACUUCCAAUUCAUGCAUUACCUACAACCUCGAUUAUAAUAAUAGUUCCUAUAUAUUCCACACAAGUGCUCCAAUAUAUCCUUUAUUGAUGACCAACAUUUCACAUUGUUGUCAGCCUCACAAACACUAUAGAAGCAAUAGUACUCAACAAUGACCAUUAACACUUGCACUUAUAUCUGGUGGGCACGAGCACAACCGGCGUUUUCUUAUGGACCGUGAGCCCUCCGGCCUCUUCCAUGCUCACGUCCUCGGGCCUCACGCCUCGUGGGAGCUCCCAGUUGAAGCAGUAGAGCAGGUUGGCCAGCGCGAACUCUGUGGUGGCCACUCCCAAGGCCAUCCCGGGGCACAUCCUCCGGCCGGCGCCGAAGGGCACAAGCUCGAAGUGUGUCCCGUUGAAGUCGACGUCCUUCCCCUCGAACCUGUCCGGGUUGAACUCCUCCGGGUUGUCCCACCUCGCGGGGUCCCUGCCGGUAGCCCACACGUUCAUCAGGAUCCUUGAGCAGAACACGUCUUAAUUCAUGAUAGUCUUAGAUCUUCUGUCAUGCCUAAAUGCUAGGACGCGAGACAAAAAUCUUCGUAGCAGUAGUGCUAGUACGCGUACACGAGGCUAAGAUCUCACACGGAGUGGCAAUGGUUAAAUAGAGUCUGAGAGCCUAAACGUAAUAGGCUAACUACUCGGGACAAAUAUGGCCGAAACAAGAGUAUGACACACAACAUUUAUAUUAUAUUCAUCACUAAAUAAAUUUCAGUAGUUCUAAAUUCUACAAAUAUGCUACAUAAUGUAUGCAUUUCUUUUUUGAGGUCAAGUUUCGACGACGAUUCUUCAGGACGCUCAGCGUACCUGUAAAGGCUCCGCUAGCUCCCAGACUCGGGGGCUAAGCGCCAAUUACUACUGGAAUAUCUCUAGUGGCUCAACUUGCUUACAAGCUUGGGGGUUAAAGCGUCAAUUACUACUUGGAAUACAUCCGGUAGCUCCGCUAGCUCUCAAACUCGGGGGCUAAGUGCCAAUAACUACUCAAUGUGGCUCCUACGGCUCACUUGGCGUAUAAGCUCGGGGGCUGGACACCGCAAAACUAUUCGGAUGAUGAGUUGCGUGAAGACUAAAAACCCUUGGAUUGAUUAUUUAAUCAUUCCAAGGCUCGGGGGCUGAUAAGCUACACUCGACAGUUGAUUUUUUCAAGAUGAAAGAAGAAGAUUCAAGAUUUUAUUGACGCUCAGCCUGAUUCUUCAAUUCAACCUAACGCUCGGGGGCUACUCCAUAUGGAAUGCGACUUCCACCGCUCUCCAUAUCACAUUCCAAAGAUAAAGAUUACAAAAUCAAGACAAUCAAGGGCUUGAGCACACCAUAGCCUCAUGACAACUUUGAGGAACUUUGAAAAUUCAACCAGACAAAGUACUCGAAAAGCACCAAAACUACUUGGCGAGGAUUUGAAAAGCACUCAAGGCUGCUGCAUUCGACUAUAAAGCGCUUAGGAGUUUGUCGGGGAUAGGUCUCCAGUACCCGCAAGGAAGGAGUAAGACAAACUCCUACUAGAAUUUCUCUAUAAUCCUACUAGGACUCAUACCAUGUAAUCCUACUAGGAGUCCUACUUAUAACCGACUAGUAAUCCAUCCCCUGAGCAUAUAAAGGAGGGCACUAGAUCAGUAGGCGAAGACCUCAUAGAACCACAACAAAGAACCAAAUCCUCAACACCAAACAACACCCAAGCGCAGGGCGCAACAUAUAACACCCCAAGCAGGACGUAGGGUAUUACGCUACUCUGGUGGUCCGAACCUGUAUAAAUCCAUGUCUUGUGUCCUCGCUUUUACCUUUGAGUUUCAGGUCCGACGAUCCCCCACCAAACAAUCUACUAUCUCGGGAUAUCCCUCGGUAGGUUGCCAGGUAUAAAACACCGACAGGACCCUCCACUUCGAGUUUUAGGUCUGACGAUUCCCCACCAAAUAAUCUACUAUCUUGGGAUACCCUUCGGUAGGUUGCCAGGUAUAAAACACCGACAGGACCCUCUAGCUCUAGUUUCAUAUCUUUUACUGUACAUACACAUAUGUAUAGUAAAAUCUAUGAAUCAAAAAAGUCAAAAUGACCGAUUAGCUGCUUAGCUCACACUCCAAACAUCGACUGCUGCAGCCACCAAAUUAAAUCAAUGGUCCUUUCGAUGCAUGAUGAGCACUCGGUGAUCCGAUUCGGUGACGCACACCUUGUGAUUAAGGGGGUGUUUGGAUAUGAGGCGUUUAACUUUAACAGUGUCACAUCGGAUAUUCGGAUGCUAAUUAGGAGAACUAAACAUGAGCUAAUUAUAAAACUAAUUGCAGAACUCUGUGCUAAUUCGCGAGACGAAUCUAUUAAACCUAAUUAAUCCAUCAUUAGCAAAUGGUUACUGUAGCACCACAUUGUCAAAUCAUGGACUAAUUAGGCUUAAUAGAUUCAUCUCGCGAAUUACACUCCAUCUGUGCAAUUAGUUUUGUAAUUAGCCUAUAUUUAAUACUCCUAAUUAGUAUCCAAACAUUUGAUGUGACGGCUGUUAAACUUUAACACCUUGUUGCCGACCCUUUGUUUGUUUCUGCUAAUUCUCCAUGUGAUAUAGGCAUUCUUUGUGGCUGGUCCUUGCAUUAAUUAUUUGGACCGCGUGGAUUAAAAAUACAUCAGAAAUUAUUGUUAGGCGUGGAUUAAAAAUUAAAAAUUGAUUCCAACGCCUGCCUGCUGCUUCUUCAUUCAAUAGUCUCGAUCACGCACGUCACGGAGUGCUGUGUCAGCAGCUAUGUAUACCUCCGUUUCUUUGUAUGAUUUCCUGCUGUUGGCGUCUUUUUCGAUCAACAUAUACGAGUGCGCUAGAUCGCACGGGUCGCGAACAGACCGAAUAAAAUAGAGGCUGCACAGGCCGGUCAGGCUGGUCUGGCAACCCGGUCAGACCGGUUUCCUAGGGUUUAGCUUGAGCCGGUUGUUCGAGGGGAUAAUAGCCACACUUAUGUAGUGGAGGACGGCUAGAUUUAUGAGCAAACCAGGAAAGGGAUAACCAACGCACUUACGUGACGAAAAACGACUAGUUUACAAGCAAACUAGCAAAGGCCGUCGAAGCUCUCGCCCGGGAGGGACUCGUCAGGGUGUGGACGUCACCAACGUGCCCUAGGUUGACCAGCAAGCCUGGAACGCCAUUUAUGAUCGUGGAGAACAGUAGAUGAACAGCAUGGAGGUUGGAAAAGUAUUAGGAUUGAGAAGACAAAAGUAAGUUGUAGAUUGAUUCGAUUGGGAUACCCUCAAUCGGCCGUGGUCCUUUAUAUUUAUAGGGUGAGGAGGUCUUGCCCCAGUAGGAGUCGAAGAUUAUAUAAAUCCCGUGUCAAAAUACAACUCCUAGCUCAGACUAGGCUGGGUAGACAGGUCAGACCAUCCAUCCAAACCGGUCUGACCGGUCAGCCAGGAUUGAAUCUUGUCAAAACCAUAACUCUCUCAUUCGCACUCCAAAUUAGAUGUUCCACAUAUGCAUUUCGAUCGUCUCAACGAGCUCUACGCAAUGGUGAAGUCCAAUUUGCAUUUUGAGCACUUUGAUCUAACCGGCCUGACCGGUUGGGCGACCAGUCUGGUUUGCCGGAUCGGCUGCAGGACCAAUAACCGGUCAGAUCGCUUCAGUAGGCCGGUCAGACUGGAUGGCUGUCAUAUCAGCCAUAUCUGCUACUUUUGGUGUCAUUCCAAGUGCUGAUUUAUCCUUUUUAGCAAAAUUACAUCCAGAGCAUAGAACGACCCUUUUGUCCUGCACAAUUCAUAUUCAAGCCAAACUUGCAGAAUAUCAAGAGUUAGUACCAAGCAAUUCUGAUCUUAGCCUCACAUAUUCCGGACCGUGCCACUUUUGAGCUCCAACACCUGCCUAUUUAAACUUUUAUAAAAUCAGAUCGAUCUUAACUAGAUGUGAGUUCUUCAUCUAGCUCGAGUAGCAUUAUUACAUGUGCCGCUGAAAGUGGCCAAAGCAUUCAGUCUCCGACGUAACCCCAUUGUCACGACAACUACUGAAACGUCCGGUCCAUCUUCACCGUGUAUCCUCAUCGUGACCAGUUUAGGAGAAUCUUUCCCUUCUUUGUUAAUCUAUAUCUAUACCUAUUCUAAUUGCACCUAAAUGAGGACCGCUCCUGCCCACUUUUGGUUCAACAACACGUGGGCCUACAAAUUUUCGUCCGUCCCCUCCCAUCGCGCCCCUCUGUCGAUACGCACAGCAGCGCUCUCCGCCCUCCAUUUUUUUCCAACUUCCUCUAUCCGCGUCUCGCUCCUAAAGAAGCCGCCGCUCCCGCAUGCCUAAUCACCUGGCUGCUGGCUGCCCACUGUGCCACCCUGUGGAGGCCGUCACCACACCUCGCCGGAGCCACGCGCCUCGCUGGGUCUGACGGCCGACCCCUCCCUCCCGUCAUGCAGAUCUACUGCACCUCUAGCAACGCACUCCUGCAGGCCGCUUCCCCCUCCACCGCUCGCUCCGCCGCCGCCCCAGCAAGCAGAAGGGGUGCUGAGGAGCGAGGAUGAGGUGGCACUGGGUCAGCGUCGCUCGCCGCCAUCCAUCGAGGAGGCUGGAUUCGUGGCGUCCGCGACAGAGGACAAUGAUCCACUCAGGUGCGUCUGCAUCUUCGCCAACAAGUACACGCGCAUCUACGCCACCCACUGCGCUUCCCCCACCGACGCCGUCAACACCCAUUCCAUCAACGCCUGCAACGUCCUCGCGCUCUCGUGAAUGGCCGCGCCGUCACGCUCGCACUGCACGACCUGCCGCGCCGCCGUCACUCGGAAUCCGCUUUAAUAGGGCGCAAGCCCUCAAGGUGAGCGAUGAGUGGAUCGAUUGAUUUUUUUCCAGUGAUUUCAUCUGUUCGACUUGCACUGGCUUGCAUUUGCUGGGUCCGUGGCCAUAGUUGAACUCAGAUUAGAAACAUGGCGUGGCGUUGCUACGUCUGAUAGCCCCCAUUAGUGGACUAUGUAGGAUCAUGCGGCUUGCCUGAUAGAGGUAAUCAGGGUUGACUCAAGCCUGAUGGAGCUCAUUAGGGUCAUCGCUGAACCACGGCGGCAAUAGCAGAGCUUUGGAAAAAUAAUCAAGUAAACUUAUCGAAUUUCUCACAAAAAAGCCAAAUCAGUUUGGUUUCUUUGAUGAAUCAUCCUCUAAAGAUGAAAAAAGCCAAAUCAGUUUGGUUUCUUUGAUGAAUCAUCCUCUAAAGAUGUAACACCGUUGCUACUGUUAUCUCUGUUUGUGUCACUGUUGUUUUCAAGUUCAGGAACUACAGCUGUAGAAUGUAGGAAACAUACACAGCUUGCAUAUCAAAAGUAUAUCAAUAUUGUACACAAUGUGCAUCUGGGCUUUGGGAGUUUUCUUAAUGGCAUUGUCAUGACUUUCAUAGAGUUUUCUUAAGGAAGCUGUUGUUUGUUGCAUUGAAUAGUUUUGAACCAAACAUUGCGAACAAGCCUACAGGUUGUUCGACCAGUGUAUUGUGUUUUGAAGAACUAAUUAAUUAGUAAAGUAGUUCCCUGACAUGAGAUCGCAAAAGUACCUUGAGUCACUGUUCUUUUAUUGGGCAUGAAUGUGUUAGUUCCUUGUCUAUCAAUUAUGUUGAUUAUUUUGCUGCAGAGCAAGACCUGUUUCCGGAGUGUUUCUCUGUUGUAAUUAAACAAUGUCCAGGAACAAUAGAAGUAGCAGACUUACCAGUUACCACAUUGCACAUUUCAGUAAGAAUCAACAAGAGGAGAAUCAUAUGAUGGAAUUAUAUCUGCAACUCAAUUGUCGAGUGAACGGAAAUCAGGUUUCUUAAUAGUUGAAGAUUUUAGUUAUUUCGAACAUAUGAUUUGGCUCAUAUGUUAGUCCAUUUCCAAAAUGAAGGCACAGAAUCCUACUGUCAUAAUUUUUAGAAGCUACCAAUUAGUUGGUAAGAUAGCAUAUGUAGCACAUUAUUCUGAACAUUAACAUGUUUAGAUGUUGUUCAGUCCUUGAGUUGUGGAGAUGUGGAGCCUGUAAAAAAGCGUAAGCACCACAUUGUGGUGAAUAAGCAGUUAUUCAGUAUAUGUAUAUUUUUAAGGACACUUUGUCGUGUUGAACUUAUUAUGCAAUAGCAGACCUUCUUUUUGUUCUUUUCUGAACAUAACCCUUCGAACAAUUAUUCUGAUAAUGGUGGUUUAUUUCUGCAUCAACAUGUGCAUCUACAUUUCCAAAAUCUGCUUCAGACCAUGGAUUGAUUGUAGCAAAUGGAACCUAUAUGCUUACUGCUGGCACCUGUGUGCAGUGAGCUGUGGACCAGGCAGUCUCAAGUAAGUGGGAUUAGUAUCGUCAUUCUUUUCAGAUGAUCUUAGUUGUACUGCUGGAUUUAACUUCUGUAUCAUUAUGCCUGUUUUCUGUUCUAUCAGUUUAUAUUGCACACCUGCUUCACUAUCAGGAUCAUGCCCAAGCAUGCAGUGUCCUAACAGCAAUGUGAUGCUUAGCAAUGUGAGCACCCAUCCAACCAGUGCAGGAUGCAAUGUCUCUUCUUGCAGCUACGGAGGUUUUGUUAAUGGAACUAUUACUACUUCAUAAGCAGCAUUUUGCCCAAUGUUCAUUUUAUUCCAUUCUCGCUGCAUGUGGCACUUCUGCUUAAAUUGCACGAUCAGAUGGUUGGGGCAUCUCAUUCUUUGGGUAAUGGUAAAAAUAUCAAGCAAACAAUAUGGCUGAUAGGAGUACUGCUUAAUGUGAAUGUGAUAUGUUUUCGCUCUUGGAUGUUAGAAUUAAUGCGUGGUAACCAGUAGCCACUAAAAAACUUCUUAAACUUACGAAAUGCUAAAUGCUGGAUAUAGCUAUUAUGGGGAACCAAAAGGGAAAAAAAAGGAUAUGGCAGUAUUUGUGUUGGUAUAAAAUGUCAUUAGUUUGAAAAACACAAUUGAUCUUUUACCGUAGCAACGCACGGGUAUUUUGCUAGUUAAUAAGAAAUGAGAUGAGACUUAUAAUAAGACCUUAGAUGAGACUUCAUCGUGUAUCCUCAUCGUAAUUUGUAUCCUACUAGUCCAUCAACCCAUGUUGGCAUAGAGACUAACUUAGAAAUCUAAUAAAAAUUAGGACCUGUAUAGCUAAGGCACUGUUUGGUUUGUCCUUGCUAAACUUUACUGAAGUUUAGUCCCUAAAUUGCCAAACAGGGUGACUAAGAGUUGCUAAACUUUAGUCCUUAGUUCUUUAGUCUCCAAGGGGUUGCUUAUAGGGACUAAAAGGGACCUUGACAGGGUGUAACCUUCAUUAAUGCCCUGUGCCUGUCCCGCCGCCGACCCCCCACCCGCUGCCGCUCCCGCCCGCCCCACCGCACCCCACCGCCCUGAACAGGAGAAACUGGAGUAGGAGAGCUAGCUGACUGAAUAUUUGGUGUAUUAACUGAUGAAGUUAAUCUUGUUCUCUUCCUCAUUUGAGUUGGCAAUGGUUCCCUAUUUGCUUCCGAUAACCUUUUCUGCAUAGCAAUUAACCUAUUCAAUCUCUCACUGCUAUCUUCGAAGGGUCUUGUAGCAGGUACCUCCAAAGAUCGGUCUUCACCAUCCUGUAAUAGAGAAUAUUAUAUGAUCUUGGAUUGAAGAACGAAUUAUAUUAAAUUCCAAACAAGAUUCAAGAACGAAUCAUUCCUAUGGACUGAAUCUUGGAUCCGUCCCUUUCUUUGCAAACAAUCUUAAUCUGAAUCUGAGCUAGGGUUCAAAGCUGAAUCAAUCCGAGAAACAAGCAACAGAACAUGGAAAAAUAGAAUGGAAACCAAUGAAACAAGAAGAGAUAGAAGGCCACCUUGUUCAGCCUGGAUGGAUUGGGAGUGGGGAUUGACCCGUCGCCGACGAGCUCCACGGUGAGAAGUGGCAGCGAGUUGACGUCCAUAUCGAGGGACCCACCCAUGGAGGCAACCGCUCCCCGUAGCUGCGAUGAUGAUUCGGCCGCCAGCGCGGCCUCCAACCUUGAGUGACACCGUCGCGCGGCAUCUUCACCGCCGCCGCCCCGUUUUUCCCCUCGAUGCUAGCCUCGGUGGGUUUGAUGGGUUAAAACUGGAAACCAGCUGAACCCCGCUUGCUUCAUCCGGGUCCGCGCGGGUCAGGGUCCAACCCGCGCUAGGAACCGGAAUGAUAGGUCUAGCAGGGUUGGGUGCGGGCUGGUUCCCGGUUUCCCUGAACCCAUGAACAGGGCUACUUGUGGUUCUCUUUCGAGAGUCCCCUUCUGCAGCUGAUUUGUACCUUCUCUCCCUUGGUCGACCUGGUGCCCUUUUCAGAAGUGGAGGCCACAACUUGAACCCAGGAUUAACUUGAGGCCACUGUUUACUAUCUGUCAUUGGCUUCACGGACUUUUCAUAGGCUUUCUUGAACUUUGCCACAGAAUAGUAGUCAUGAACAUAGUCUUCAAUAUUACCUUGAAUUGAGGUUAUAAUACACAAGGCAUGUGUCCAUGGCAGACCAGUAACUUGCCAGCGCCUACAGGUAUGCUUCCUCUCCUGAAGAUCAACGGUAUGCCUCCAAUGAACUAGAUCUCUUGUAACACCUUCAACUUCACCUAACAUUUCACCUUAUUUCAGCCCUCUGCUCCUUGCAUUAAGGUCCUUCAUCACAUUUGGCAGUAUCUUAUCUUCAAUUCUUAGCAAUUUUUCUUCUUAAGAACAUUUUCUCCAUGCAUAAUUGUCUGAUCCUAUCCAAUAAGAUCAACAACAUGCAGGGAUUUUUUCAUGCCUAAUCCAGCUGUUGAAUGUUUCAGCUAUGUUAUUUGUGUACCAAUGUCAACAAGCAAAUCAUUCCAAUUUGUGCUAUUCCUGUCUAAAAUCCUUGGAAUGUUGCAAGCAUCACAAUACAUACGAGUGCCAUCAUCACUUAGUUUCACGUAAGCACCUACACGCAUAGCAAGUCUGUAGGCUGAACUGGCAUCCAUCCUAAACAGACAUUGGCACAAAUUCGAGUGGAAUAAACACACAGUUAGCUUUACUUCAUUUGCAAAUACGAGCUCAAGUUAGCACAAGAAAUUGGAAGACCACUUACCCAUCAGGAACCCAUGAGAGAUCAGCCUGAUCCUGCGGGAAAAUCUCGUUGAGGAAUCGUGGGGGUCUCCAUCUUCUAUCCUCAGCCAACCGUGCUUGUUCUUCAAGAGGGGCUGCGCGCGGGGCGUCGGUGGGUGUCGCAGCAGCCUACGACGUGCGGGGAGGGGCCGCGCACGUCCAUGGUGGCCAGCGCACCGCCGGAAUGGGCCACCUUGUUCAGCCAAUGAAACAAGAAGAGAUAGAAGGCCACCUUGUUCAGCCUGGAUGGAUCGGGAGUGGGGAUUGACCCGUCGCCGACGAGCUCCACGGUGAGAAGUGGCGGCGAGUCGAUGUCCAUUUCGAGGGACCCACCCAUGGAGGCAACCGCUUCCCGCAGCCGCAAUGCUGAUUCGGCCGCCAGCGCGGCCUCCAGCUCAAGGCCUUGAGCGACACCGUCGUGUAGCAUCUUCGCCGUCACCACCCCUUUUUUUCCCCCUUGAUGCUGGCCUCGAUGGGUUUGACAGGUUAAAACCACAAACCAGCUGACCCCCGCUUGCUUCAUCCGGGUCCACGCAGGUCGGGGUCCAACCCGCGCUAGGAACCGGAAUGACAGGUCCAGCAGGGUUGGGUGCGGGCUGGUUCCCGGUUUCCCUGAACCCAUGAACAGGGCUACUUGUGGUUCUCUUUCCAGAGUCCCCUUUUGCAGCUAAUUUGUACCUUCUCUCCCUUGGUUGACCUGGUGCCCUUUUCAGAAGUGGAGGCCACAACAUUAACUUGAAGCCACUGUUUACUAUCUGUCAUUGGCUUCACAGACUUUUCAUAGGCUUUCUUGAACUUUGCCACAAAAUAGUAGUCAUGAACACAGUCUUCAAUAUUACCUCAAAUUGAGGUUAUAAUACACAAGGCAUGUGUACAUGGCAGACCAUAACUUGCCAGCGCCUACAGGUACGCUUCCUCUCCUGAAGAUCAACGGUAUGCCUCCAAUGAACUAGAUCUCUUGUAACACCUUCAACUUCACCUAACAUUUCACCUUAUUUCAGCCCCCUGCUCCUUGCAUUAAGGUCCUUCAUCACAUUUGGCAGUAUCUUAUCUUCAAGCUUCUUAGCAAUUUUUCUUCUUAAGAACAUUUUCUCCAUGCAUAAUUGUCUGAUCCUAUCCAUAAGAUCAACAACAUGCAGGGAUUUUUCAUGCCUAAUCCAGCUGUUGAAUGUUUCAGCUAUGUUAGUUGUGUACCAAUGUCAACAAGCAAAUCAUUCCAAUUUGUGCUAUUCCUGUCUAAAAUCCUUGGAAUGUUACAAGCAUCACAAUACAUACGAGUGCCAUCAUCACUUAGUUUCACAUAAGCACCUACACGCAUAGCAAGUCUGUAGGCUGAACUGGCAUCCAUCCUAAACAGACAUUGGCACAAAUUCGAGUGGAAUAAACACACAGUUAGUUUUACUUCAUUUGCAAAUACGAGCUCAAGUUAGCACAAGAAAUUGGAAGACCACUUACCCAUCAGGAACCCAUGAGAGAUCAGCCUGAUCCUGCGGGAAAGGAACCCAUGAGAGAUCAGCCUGAUCCUGCGGGAAAAUCUCGCUGAGGAAUCAUGGGGGUCUCCAUCUUCUAUCCUCAGCCAACCGUGCUUGUUCUUCAAGAGGGGCUGCGCGCGGGGCGUCGGUAGGUGUCGCAGCAGCCUACGACGCGCGGGGAGGGGCCACACGCGUCCAUGGUGGCCAACCAGGGGUGAAACAGUCAUUUUCGAUCCUUUACAAUUAAACUGAUUAAAAUAUGGAGUAUAGUGUCCAGCAGCAUAUUACCGUAGUUAAAGAGUGUGUUCUAGCAAAACCACUCUUUUUUAGUGUCCUGUGGCAAAAACCACGAUUGAACGAUGUCCGGGAGCUAAUUUUGCCUAACUUAUAUGCAUGAUGUGUGUCAUAGACCACAUAUACAUAUAUGCACGAAGAGAUGAGACUAUUUAUUUCUAUGUUAAACACAUAGCUCACUAAGCGUUAAGUUGAACUUACGUGCUUCCUCCGUCUAUAAAUACAUGACGUUUAGGACAAGCUAUAUCUAUGAACGGAGGUAGUAUAUGCCGGGUGUAGCCACAGCGUUUCCUUCACCACCAUGUUGAGGUACUUGAGCUUGGGCAUGUCAUCAGGCUGCACCCUCUCUUUGUCACCCACCACGGCCCUGAUCUCAUCCUGCACUUUCUUGAGCACUUGCGGCUUUCGGAUCAGCUCCGCCAUCGCCCAGACCAUGGUAACUGAGCUCCUGUCAACGCCACCAAUGAAGGUAUUCUGAAAAUUAUGAUGGAGUGAUGAAUUUACAGUUACGUGUAAUCUGCUUAUUCAUUGGUGUAAAUUGAGUCAAGUUUCUCCAUCUCUGUACAUACCGACAGUAGUGCUUUGAUAUGGUCUGUACGUACUGAACCUCAUGAGAGACCCUUGGUGUUUGUGGUCCUCCUCCAUGAGGACGUGGACAAGAUCGCUGCUGCUGCUGCUGGCUAUCUCACGGGAGGGGUCGAGGUGCUGCUGGAUGAUCAUGUCGAAGAAAGCGUCGAGCUCCCUGAACACUGUCUCACGGCGGGAGACGACACCGGUGAGGUGGUCCAGGAGGCGUCCGACCACGUUGGGGAAGUAGAAACUGGCUAACACCCCCAUGGCCUCGUCGACUACAUCAUGGAAGUGCUUCGUGUGCGCGAACUGCUCCGUGCCGUAGAUAUUCCCGAACGCCACCGUACCAAUGACGCCGUCCAUGAGACCGAAGAUGUGGUCCUCCAGGAACACUUGUUUCCCUCCGGAGCUGCUCAAUCUACCGAUGAGUUUGUCCACCUAUAAUAAUACCAUCAAUAAGUAGAAUAUUCAUUAUUCCUGUCCAUUUCAAAUAGGUUGUUUUAAUUUUAUUCGACAUCAAACUUCUCUAAAUUUCACAUAAAAAACUUCUCUAAUUUUGACGAAGUUUAUAUGCAUUCUCUUGCUGUGUAUUUUACAGCAAUAUAUGUUACUCGGUAUAGUACAACGCACUAGGUAUACCUGGGCCUCUCUGGCGUACCAGGCUGCCUGGAUGACGAAGAGCUUGCGCAUCUCGCGCCAGCAGUCGCUGUAGGGCGUGAACGCCACGUCCUUGUGGCCGUACGACAACCGCCGCGCCCCCGGCGUGUCCGGCCGGCUGCAGCACGCGGCGUCGUGCGUCUUCAGCACCUCCCUCGCACCUCCGCCGACGACACCACCAGCGUCGGCACCGUGCCCAGCCGCAGCUGCAUCACCGGCCCGUGGCGACGCGCCAGCUCGCGGAGGCUCCGGUGGGGCAGCGCGCCCAUGAUCUGAUGCAGGUUGCCCAGGACAGGCAGGACAGGCAGCCUCAGCAGUGGACCGGGCGGCAGGUGGAGGCGGCGGCCUUUGGUGGAGACGAAGCUUCUUGUUGCAAGAGCGAGGCCGAGGAGAGGCAGAAGAAAUGUAAAGAAGAUGGCAGGGAGCUGCAGUUUCCAUUAUUGAGGCAUGAAUUCCAGGACAGGCAAAGGCAUGGCCACUGUUUCUUUUACUCCAAAUGAAAGCAAAAUAAUUAUAAUGUGAGCAUCUGCGUCUGUGCAAUUCAAAAAAAAAAGUUUGCUAGUAGAGCUCAUCAACUACUCCCUUCUAAGUCAAAUCUUGUUUGGCAGUUUGAGUGUUAUUUUGGUAUGCUCCAUCCAUGUAAGAGCAUAGCUAUGUUUAUGUUUGUCCUAAGUCAUACACUUUUAUUUUUGAUGGAUAAUAGCUCUAAAAAUUAUUUAUUUUAAAUAUAAAAAUUGCAUAUUAUGAUAGUAUGUGUACGAUUGUCCUGAAUCAAACUACUCUGAAAACUAUGGUGAACUACAGUUUCAAAUGAGGGCUUGGAUACAAUGUAUUCAGAUGUGAAAAAGUAUAUAAAUAUAUACAAGUAAAGUAGCAGGCUAUACAUUUUUGUUUUGUUUUUAGAUGAUUACCACAAACUUUUGGAGAUCCCACAUCAUAUUUAUCUCACAAAUGAUCGGAUUUAUUUAGAUAUUACAAGUGUCUUGGAUCCAUAAGCGGUGGUCUUGGUAAUAUAAGCUGGUCAUGACUCAUGAUCUCUGCCACUUGUACCUGGUCGGCACAAGCACGAGGGGACCUUCUUGUUGACGGUGAGCCCUCCUGCCUCUUCCAUGCUCACAUCCUCCACCGUCAUACCAUCUGGGAGCUCCCACUCGAAGCAGUGGAGCAGGUUGGCCAGCGUGAACUCUACUAUCGCCACCCCCAUGGCCACUCCAGGGCACAUCCUACGUCCAGCGCCGAAUGGCAGAAGCUCGAAAUGCGCCCCAUUGAAGUCGACACCAUCCCCCUCAAACCUAUCUGGGUCAAACUCCUUGGGGUUGCUCCAGAUUGCAGGGUCUCUGCCAAUUGCCCAGACGUUUACAAAGAUCCUUGUCCUGGCAGGCACAUCGUAUCCGCAGAUCUUGAUGUGUCGCAUGGUCUCUCUCGGAGCUAGAAGCGGUGCCACCGGGUGUAGCCGUAGCGUCUCCUUUACCACCAUCUUAAGAUACUUGAGUUUGGACAAGUCGUCCGGCUCUACCCUCUCUUUGUUGCCCACCGCUCCUCUGAUCUCGUCUUGUGCCUUCUUAAGAACCUCCGGGUUUCGAAUCAGCUCGGCCAUUGCCCAGACCACCGUGACCGAGUUCGUGUCAACUCCACCAAUGAACGUAUCCUGAAAGAUUGUACGUAUGCAUAACGGUUAUAAAUGAAAUAAUAUAUAUAGCUCCAUAAAUCCUCUUUUGUACUGUAAAUUUAUGAGCUCUUUUACGGUACAUAAUACUAUUGUACUUAGUAGUAUAUAAUAUAUAUAAGAUCUAAAUAUUCAUGAUUAUGGAUGAUUUAGUAAUUAUUACAUGUGAAAAGUGAUAUUUCAAACGGAAUGGCCUCUUAAACUUUAUGCUAGUGUCAAAAAUAAAAUUUUAGUGAUGUCAUUUGUGUUCUUUUACCAUGAUACUCUUAUACUAUCUAUACUACUCAUGUAUACUACUUAUACCACACGUGAAGGUUUCGGUAGUAUACAAUUAAUCUUAACCGUCGAAUUUUAUAUACUAAUCUUUUUUGAACACUAGUAUAGCCUAGUGGAGCUUAAAUUUUAUAUGUUGAUGACGUUGCGUACCGAUAACAUUCCCUUGAUGUGGUCUCUAGUGAACCAACUGAAAGUGCCCUCGUGCUCCUUGGUGAGGCCAAUAAGGAUGUCGAUGAAGCCAGGCCCGUUGUCCGGUGUGGGGCGGGACGGCUGGAGGUGGGUGUCGAUAAUCUUGUCGAAGAAAGUGUCGAGCUCCCAAAAUACCUUCUCACGGCGGGAGACGAGGCCGGUGAGAUGGUCCACAAGGCGACCCAAGACGUUGGGGAAGUAGUCCUCAGCGGAGAAGCUGCUCUUUACAGCCAUGGCCUCAUCGAACAGAUCGUGGAAGUGCUUCUUGUGUGCAAACUGCUCUGAACCGUAUAUGCUCCCAAGUGCCACCGUGCCGACAAUGCCGUCCAUGAGCGUGAAGAUGUGAUCCUCCAGGUACACUGGUCUCCGUCCUCCGCUGGUUAAGCGGCCGAUGAGUUUGUCCACCUCAGCUUCCCUGGCUGGCCAGGUGGCCUGGACGCGGCGCGCGUUGAGGAGCUCGACGACGAUGAGCUUGCGCAUCUCGCGCCAGCAGUCGCUGUAGGGCGUGAACGCCACGUCCUUGUAGCCGUACGAUAACCGCCGCGCCCCCGGCGUGUCCGGCCGGGUGCAGCACGCGGCGUCGUGCGUCUUCAGCACCUCCCUCGCCGCCUCCGCCGACGACACCACCAGCGUCGGCACCGUGCCCAGCCGCAGCUGCAUCACCGGCCCGUGGCGACGCGCCAGCUCGCAGAGGCUCCGGUGGGGCAGCGCGCCCAUGAUCUGAUGCAGGUUGCCCAGGACAGGCAGCCUCAGCAGUGGACCGGGCGGCAGGUGGAGGCGGUCCCCUUUGGUGGAGAAGAAGCUUAUUGUUGCAAGAGCGAGGGCGAGGAGAGGGAGAAGAAACGUAAAGAAGAUGGCAGGGAGCUGCAGUUUCCAUUGUUGAGGCAUGCAUUCCAGGACAGGCAAAGGCAUGGCCAC